rnacentral:tRNA from 1 species
UAACAGCCGCCGGUCUGAACGGGUAUUAUUGAUGUUGAUAAACAUAAGAUAUACAUUAUCUUGCUGUUAU